rnacentral:rRNA from 1 species
AUUGAACGCUGGCGGAAUGCUUUACACAUGCAAGUCGAACGGCAGCACGGGGGCAGCCCUGGUGGCGAGUGGCGAACGGGUGAGUAAUACAUCGGAACGUGCCCGGUCGUGGGGGAUAACGUAGCGAAAGUUACGCUAAUACCUCAUACGAUCUGAGGAUGAAAGCGGGGGACCUUCGGGCCUCGCGCGAUCGGAGCGGCCGAUGUCAGAUUAGGUAGUUGGUGGGGUAAAGGCCUACCAAGCCGACGAUCUGUAGCUGGUCUGAGAGGACGACCAGCCACACUGGGACUGAGACACGGCCCAGACUCCUACGGGAGGCAGCAGUGGGGAAUUUUGGACAAUGGGCGCAAGCCUGAUCCAGCCAUUCCGCGUGCAGGACGAAGGCCUUCGGGUUGUAAACUGCUUUUGUACGGAACGAAAAGGCUCUGGCUAAUACCUGGGGCUCAUGACGGUACCGUAAGAAUAAGCACCGGCUGACUACGUG